AAUACUAGCCGGGGGCGUGCCAGGGCUUCUAACCUUAGCUCGAAAGGUUCAACUCCUUUCAUGUAUUU
rnacentral:tRNA from 1 species